GGCAACUAGCUCAGCUGAGACAGUGAAAAUUGUUAACAUGCUCCAGCACUUACUGGGGGUGCCGGACACAUUUCAACAGCCAACUCAUUAAUCUUCCCGGCGUCCCCACAAGGAGGUCCCCAUUUGCAAAGGAGGAAGCUGAAGCCCAACCAUCUGCCAAAUCCACAGAGAUUUGUACUCCCCCAGCUCUGCCGAUGGAUGUUAAUCUGGGUCAGAUCAAGUGCAAACAAGCCUCAGGUGGACCCCGGAGGGCUGGGUUGUCCAGCACAGGCACAGCCGUAUGUGAGCCUCAAUUGAGUGUGGGCAGCACCUGAGGGGCCCCUGGGUAACCCCCCACUGCCUCCUGAAUGUCCUCCCCACUGCUUAGAGGCGUCCUUCCCCUCCCAGCCGAGAAGGGCGGGCUGGCCCUGAGUGCUCCAGUGGAAACUCCUGGACCCUCCUUCAUCCAACAGUGACCAGGUACCAGCUCUUGCCCUCCUUCCAGGGCCUCCCCUGCAGAAUAACCUUCCUGAGGACAGAUGCUGAGCCUUGACUCUCAGACUCCGGGAGCAAAGUCCACCUCCUGCGGGACGCAAUGACGGCUUGCUGCCUUCACAGAUAAGUGCGAUGGGAAGGCAGAGCCCAGCAGAAGGAGAAUUUGGUUCCAUUCCUGAGGUCUUUGACUGGGACCUACAUGAGUGCGAGAAUAAUGAAAAAGAGAGAGAGAAGGGGGCAAGAGUACACCAGGGUGUUUAAUAGAGUGUGAUCGUAUCCUGUAAAUAAGACAGUGCUGACAAAAGGAAGAAAAGCCCGCCCCUGUGUGAAUGAACUGAGUAAACAGCUUACUCCUUCUGCCAAAAGGUUGGCAAGGAGUAGAAAGUAAGAAGAAGGAAAAUACCAGCAAAUGAGAGCCUUGGUUCGGGAAUGCAAUGUAUCUGGAGAACAAAAUUAUGGCAUAUGAAAG
rnacentral:lncRNA from 1 species